rnacentral:rRNA from 1 species
GAUGAACGCUGGCGGCGUGCUUAACACAUGCAAGUCGAACGGAAAGGCUCCUGCUUUCUGGGGUGCUCGAGUGGCGAACGGGUGAGUAACACGUGGGUGACCUGCCCUGCACUUCGGGAUAAGCCUGGGAAACUGGGGCUAAUACCGGAUAGGAGGAUGGGUUGGAUGGCGGGGGGGGGAGUUUUUCGGUGGGGGGUGAGCUCGCGGCGUAUCAGCUUGUUGGUGGGGUAGUGGCUUACCAAGGCGUCGACGGGUAGCCGGCCUGAGAGGGUGGACGGCCACAUUGGGACUGAGAUACGGCCCAGACUCCUACGGGAGGCAGCAGUGGGGAAUAUUGCACAAUGGGCGCAAGCCUGAUGCAGCGACGCCGCGUGGGGGAUGACGGCCUUCGGGUUGUAAACUGCUUUCGCCAGUGACGAAGCGUGAGUGACGGUAACGGGAGAAGAAGCACCGGCUAACUACGUG